rnacentral:rRNA from 1 species
GACGAACGCUGGCGGCAUGCCUAAUACAUGCAAGUUGAACGAUGAUAUUCUCUGCUUGCCGAGAAUUGAAGAGUAGCGAACGGGUGAGUAACACGUGGGGAACCUGCCCAUGAGAGGGGGAUAACAUUCGGAAACGGAUGCUAAUACCGCAUAAUGCUUUGGACCGCCUGGUCCAGAGACGAAAGACGGCUUUUGCCGUCACUCAUGGAUGGCCCCGCGCCGUAUUAGCUAGUUGGUGGGGUAAUGGCUCACCAAAGCUGUGAUACGUAGCCGACCUGAGAGGGUGAUCGGCCACACUGGGACUGAGACACGGCCCAGACUCCUACGGGAGGCAGCAGUAGGGAAUCUUCCACAAUGGGCGAAAGCCUGAUGGAGCAAUGCCGCGUGAAUGAAGAAGGUCUUCGGAUCGUAAAGUUCUGUUAUUAGAGAAGAACAAGUCAAGGAGUAACUGUCGUGACUUUGACGGUACCUAACCAGAAAGUCACGGCUAACUACGUG